UACGUAGGGGGCAAGCGUUGUCCGGAAUCAUUGGGCGUAAAGAGCUCGUAGGCGGUUUGUUGCGUCGGCCGUGAAAACCUGCAGCUUAACUGUGGGCCUGCGGCCGAUACGGGCAGACUUGAGUUCGGUAGGGGAGGACUGGAAUUCCUGGUGUAGCGGUGAAAUGCGCAGAUAUCGGGAGGAACACCGGUGGCGAAGGCGGUUCUCUGGGCCUUACCUGACGCUGAGGAGCGAAAGCGUGGGGAGCGAACAGG
rnacentral:rRNA from 1 species